UACAGAGGUCCCAAGCGUUGUUCGGAUUCACUGGGCGUAAAGGGUGCGUAGGUGGUGAGGUAAGUUUGAUGUGAAAUCUCCGGGCUCAACCCGGAAAUGGCACUGAAUACUAUCUUGCUGGAGGAGUGGAGGGGGGACUGGAAUACUUGGUGUAGCAGUGAAAUGCGUAGAUAUCAAGUGGAACACCAGUGGCGAAGGCGAGUCCCUGGACACUUCCUGACACUGAGGCACGAAAGCUAGGGGAGCAAACAGG
rnacentral:rRNA from 1 species